UACGUAGGGGGCGAGCGUUGUCCGGAAUGACUGGGCGUAAAGGGCGUGUAGGCGGCUCUAUAAGUCUGGAGUGAGAGUCUUGUUUUCAAGGUGGGAAUUGCUUUGGAUACUGUAGAGCUUGAGUGCGGAAGAGGUAAGUGGAAUUCCCAGUGUAGCGGUGAAAUACUUAGAGAUUGGGAGGAACACCAGUGGCGAAGGCGACUUACUGGGCCGUAACUGACGCUGAGGCGCGAAAGCGUGGGGAGCGAAC
rnacentral:rRNA from 1 species